AGGAUAAUAGUUAAGUAUAACAUUUAAAUUGCAUUUAAAAAGUAUUGAGUAUCAAUUUAUCUU
rnacentral:tRNA from 1 species